AAAGUCAUAACAAGGUCUCCUGUGAACCUGCAGAGAGGGAUCAUUAAUGAAUGGUCUCUGUACCUUCAACCCCUCAAACCUGUGGACGUUUAAAAACGUGCUUUGGUGCUUCUGGUGCUGCCUUUAUGCAAGACAUAAGUCUUUUUUAUGUCUGAACAUGAGAAGAAUCAAAAACUUUCAACAAAGGAUCUCUUGGCUCUC
rnacentral:misc_RNA from 1 species